CCUACGGGUGGCAGCAGUGAGGAAUAUUGGUCAAUGGGCGCGAGCCUGAACCAGCCAAGUAGCGUGAAGGAUGACUGCCCUACGGGUUGUAAACUUCUUUUAUAAAGGAAUAAAGUGAGGCACGUGUGCCUUUUUGUAUGUACUUUAUGAAUAAGGAGCGGCUAACUCCGUGCCAGCAGCCGCGGUAAUACGGAGGAUACGAGCGUUAUCCGGAGUUAUUGGGUUUAAAGGGAGCGUAGAGGGGUUGUUAAGUCAGUUGUGCAAGUUUGCGGCUCAACCGUAAAAUUGCAAUUGAUACUGGCAGCCUUGCUUACCGUUGAGGUAGGCGGAAUUCGUGGUGUAGCGGU
rnacentral:rRNA from 1 species